rnacentral:lncRNA from 1 species
GCCCAAACGUCGCCAUUAUACAAAAUACGAAAGAUGAGAGAGAGCUGAGACAGAAGAUACCAGACACAAUACUAUUCAGGGGUUGCCUGUGUCUGUACCCCGUUUCAUCUUCACUUCUGGGAACCAGGCUGAUGGAGAAGUCUUCUAGCAGAAGUACUAUGGGUCAUGAUGGCAGAAAGAAGAGCAAACUUGGUGGACCAUGUGCUGGCCCUUGAUGGGUCUACUCAGAUGGGUCACGUAUCUCUGCUCACAAGGUAGCUACCCUUGCAUUUCAUCAGGGCUCUGCUUGCAAGAAUCGCAAGGCAGAUCAAGCCUAGCGGCCUAAGAGAUCUACUUCCCCUGGGAAUGAAUCCUGCAUAAAGACCCAUGUAUGGAAAGCAAGAAUGCACACCACCAUGAGGGAAAACCAGCACAGUACCAGAAACGGAGUUCAAACAGAUGUCAAGCUGAUUGAAUAACUGAGGCUUGAUAGAGUUACAUCACUUGUCCAAAGAGAUAAUGCCAGUGAAUGGAAUAGCCAGAUCGAAUUCCAGAAUCCGUAAAGCUCCACUGCUUCUCUCUGAAUGUAAUAACCCAUCCACAAGCCCUAAGAUAUUAGACACAUCAGUGAUCACUCCAUCUGCUUUUGGCCCAUUGCUGUUGUCAGGAUUUAUGCAUUUAUGUCUGCAAUAAUUAUUUAUUGAGGACCUUCUCUCUUGCAAUUGCAUAUGGCCUUAUAACUGAAUUCUGACUUUAUGUCUCUCUUAGGAUAGACAGAUAAAAAUUUUUCAUAUGUGAUCUUCUUUCUGUCCCCUACCUCUCAGCUAUGAGCCUGAAACAGCAGAUUCAGUAGAACAGAGUUUCUCAGGAAUGGCAGAGCCACAAGUUGGGAGGAGCCCAGCUCUGUCCAACAACCUGGAACAUCCAUCAACCAGGAAAACUGUUGCACUUUAUGUGAUUAAGAAACAUUUUUUAAGGAAAAAAGCAGUAAAUUUUUGGGUUAUAUUUGUUGCAAUAGCUGUGUUACUUUCCUAAUGCACAAUCACAAAUGUAAAAUGCCACACACAGAGUGUGAGGAAAUAUAUUGCUAUUGGACUACUUGUAGUCUAUUUAAUUUUUUUAUAUAGCUAUAGCCAGAUCUGGGGUGAAAUGGUUUAGAAUAAUAAUUUCCAAUAGUAUACAUCAUACCUUUAAAAAGACUUUUAUGGAUGGAUAAAUAUCUAAUUAUGGAACUGCCCUGCAACGUAAGUGGUGAGAGAAACUCUUUAUAUAUGCUUUGUUUUUUUCUGAAUGCAUAGGUUCAGAAUUAUUAAACAAAUCCUCAUCUUUUGACAGCCAGUAAUCAAUUUCUCAUUUGCAGGGAAUCUAAUUGCAUUAGAGGGGACACUGGGGAAGUUAUGGACUACCUCAUCUUUCUACUAUAAAAAAUGAAACUACUUGUCUGUAUUGAAUUUGAUUUUAUAUGUUCAAUGAAAUAUAUCAUAUCCUUAUAAUAAAGUUAUAUAAGUUGCAAUGACUAUCUUUACAAGGUUUUCUUAUCAGAACAUUCCUUAAUUAUUUUAAAA